GUCUUAGUAGCUUAAUGAAAAAGCUUUUGUUUUACACAUAAAGGAUAGCCUUUUGGCUCUAAGAUA
rnacentral:tRNA from 1 species